UGGGGAAUAUUGGUCAAUGGGCGCAAGCCUGAACCAGCCAUGCCGCGUGCAGGAUGACGGCCCUCAGGGUUGUAAACUGCUUUUAUAUGGGAAUAAAAAAGUCCUUGCGAGGACUCUUGAAGGUACCAUAAGAAUAAGCACCGGCUAACUCCGUGCCAGCAGCCGCGGUAAUACGGAGGGUGCAAGCGUUAUCCGGAUUUACUGGGUUUAAAGGGUGCGUAGGCGGCUUUUUAAGUCAGUGGUGAAAGCCUAGACACUUAAUGUCAGAAGUGCCACUGAUACUGAAGAGCUUGAGUCGAGGAGAGGUAAGCAGAAUUUGUGGUGUAGCAGUGAAAUGCUUAGAUACCAUGAGGAAUACCAACAGCGAAAGCAGCUUACUGGCCUUGUACUGACGCUGAGGCACGAAAGCGUGGGGAGCAAACAGGAUUAGAUACCCGUGUAGUCC
rnacentral:rRNA from 1 species